AGAGUUUGAUCCUGGCUCAGGAUGAACGCUAGCUACAGGCUUAACACAUGCAAGUCGAGGGGAAACGACAUCGAAAGCUUGCUUUUGAUGGGCGUCGACCGGCGCACGGGUGAGUAACGCGUAUCCAACCUGCCCACCACUUGGGGAUAACCUUGCGAAAAUAAGACUAAUACCCAAUGAUAUCUCUAGAAGACAUCUGAAAGAGAUUAAAGAUUUAUCGGUGAUGGAUGGGGAUGCGUCUGAUUAGCUUGUUGGCGGGGUAACGGCCACAAGGCGACGAUCAGUAGGGGUUCUGAGAGGAAGGUCCCCCCANAUUGGAACUGAGACACGGUCCAAACUCCUACGGGAGCA
rnacentral:rRNA from 1 species